rnacentral:rRNA from 1 species
UUCGAUUAAGCCAUGCGAGUCGAGAGGUGUAAGACCUCGGCAUACUGCUCAGUAACACGUGGACAACCUACCCUGAAGAGGGGGAUAACCCCGGGAAACUGGGGAUAAUACCCCAUAGACUAUGGAUGCUGGAAUGCUUUGUAGUUGAAAGGUCCGCCGCUUCAGGAUGGGUCUGCGGCCGAUUAGGUUGUUGUUGGGGUAACGGCCCAACAAGCCUGUAAUCGGUACGGGUUGUGGGAGCAAGAGCCCGGAGAUGGAUUCUGAGACACGAAUCCAGGCCCUACGGGGGCACGAGGCCGGAAAACUUUACAAUGCGAGCAAUCGUGAUAAGGGAACUCCGAGUGCCUGUAAAAUCAGGCUGUCCGCCAGUGUAAAUAACUGGUGAAGAAAGGGCCGGGCAAGACCGGUGCCAGCCGCCGCGGUAAUACCGGCGGCUCGAGUGGUGGCCACUAUUACUGGGCUUAAAGCGUUCGUAGCUGGUCUGUUAAGUCUCUGGGGAAAUCUUCCGGCUUAACCGGAAGGCGUCUCAGGGAUACUGGCAGACUAGGGACCGGAAGAGGUGAGAGGUACUCCAGGGGUAGGAGUGAAAUCCUGUAAUCCUUGGGGGACCACCUGUGGCGAAGGCGUCUCACCAGAACGGCUCCGACAGUGAGGAACGAAAGCUGGGGGAGCAAACCGGAUUAGAUACCCGGGUAGUCCCAGCUGUAAACGAUGCGCGUUAGGUGUAUCGGUGACCACGAGUCACCGAGGUGCCGAAGAGAAAUCGUGAAACGCGCCGCCUGGGAAGUACGGUCGCAAGGCUGAAACUUAAAGGAAUUGGCGGGGGAGCACCACAACGGGUGGAGCCUGCGGUUUAAUCGGACUCAACGCCGGGAAACUCACCGGACAAGACAGCUGAAUGAUAGUCGGGCUGAAGACUCUACUUGACUAGCUGAGAGGAGGUGCAUGGCCGUCGUCAGUUCGUACUGUGAAG